GUUCAUUUGGCUGACGCGGUGAUCAGGACUGCACACUUCUGUGGCUCUCUGCUUCAUAGGCCUCUGCUUGAAGGCCUCAGAACACAGAACAGUGGGCAGAGAUUUCAGUCUGUAGAUGGUUCCCCACAGACCUGCAGUAGCAAUACAUAUCAACACGGAUCGCUCAUAUAGGGAAGAACCACAGGCAGUUCAUCGGCUG